rnacentral:rRNA from 1 species
UACGAAGGGGGGCUAGCGUUGUUCGGAAUUACUGGGCGUAAAGCGCACGUAGGCGGAUACUUAAGUCAGGGGUGAAAUCCCCGGGGGCUCAACCCCCGGAACUGCCUUUGAUACUGGGUAUCUCGAGUCCGGAAGAGGUGAGUGGAAUUCCGAGUGUAGAGGUGAAAUUCGUAGAUAUUCGGAGGAACACCAGUGGCGAAGGCGGCUCACUGGUCCGGUACUGACGCUGAGGUGCGAAAGCGUGGGGAGCAAACAGG